UGAGUAAGCUAUGCGAUAGCGUGAACGUUUUAGUUUAUGAGGAAAGUCCGGGCAUCACAGAGCGGAGCAGCUGCUAACGGCAGCCGAGGGCGACCUUAGGGCCAGUGCAACAGAGAUAUACCGCCGUGUUUACACGGUAAGGGUGGAAAGGCGAGGUAAGAGCUCACCAGAGUGCAGGAGACUGUACUGCUAUGUAAACCCUGUUCGAUGCAACGUCUAUUGGUACAGUUUGUCUUAACACUUGCUCGGUGGGCAGGCUGUAAUGACGGCUUGAGCCCUUUGGCGACAAAGGGCCUAGAUAAAUUAUCGCACACGACAGAACCCGGCUUAUCGGCUUACUCAUUUU
rnacentral:RNase_P_RNA from 1 species